rnacentral:rRNA from 1 species
UACAGAGGGUGCGAGCGUUGUUCGGAAUUAUUGGGCGUAAAGCGCUGGUAGGUGGCUUGUUAAGUCGCGUGUGAAAGCUCCCGGCUCAACCGGGAAAGUGCGCGCGAAACUGGCGAGCUUGAGUGCCGGAGAGGGUCGCGGAAUUCCCAGUGUAGAGGUGAAAUUCGUAGAUAUUGGGAGGAACACCAGAGGCGAAGGCGGCGACCUGGGAGGUAACUGACACUGAGCAGCGAAAGCGUGGGGAGCAAACAGG